GUCAGGAUGGCCGAGUGGUCUAAGGCGCCAGUUUCAGGUACUGGUCUCGAACCGGGCAUGGGUUCGAAUCCCAUUCUUGACACCA
rnacentral:tRNA from 1 species